ensembl:lncRNA
CCCCCCUCUCAGUUGACAGUGACAGGACAUUUUUUUGUUUGUUAGUUUAUUUGCACAUCGCUACAACACCGUAUAUACACAUAGUAUCACAUUCACUUUUUAUUGUUUAUUUCACUUGCUUUGGCAGUAUAAACAUGCUCCUCAGAGAGAGAGAGAGAGAGAGAGAGAGAGAGAGAGAGAGAGAGAGAGAGAGAGAGAGAGAGAGAGAGAGAGAGAGAGAGAGAGAGAGAGAGAGAGAGAGAGACAGACCGACUGGCUGACUGACUGGCCAGCCGGGUGACUAGGUAGGUAGGGAUGUAGUCUAAUCCUGUCAGUGCAUCUAAGGGACAGCAUCUGUUUGGGAAUCAAGGCUUUCAGUCUCACACAGUGUUACAUUGUGAUUCAGAUACACUGUGUCCUAUAUGCUGCUAUUCUACAAUCCCCUGUCACCUGUCAGACACACUGUGUCCUAUUGGCUGCUAUUCUACAAUCCCCUGUCACAUGUCAGACACACUGUGUCCUAUUGGCUGCUAUUCUACAAUCCCCUGUCACAUGUCAGACAAACUGUGUCCUAUUGGCUGCUAUUCUACAAUCCCCUGUCACAUGUCAGACACACUGUGUCCUAUUGGCUGCUAUUCUACAAUCCCCUGUCACAUGUCAGACAAACUGUGUCCUAUUGGCUGCUAUUCUACAAUCCCCUGUCACAUGUCAGACACACUGUGUCCUAUUGGCUGUAUGUUCCACUCUCUCUCUUUCUCUCUUUUUGUUGAACACCAAUUAAAUGCAGAUUAUUUGAGGAAGGAGAGGAGUGAGGAUGGAGGAGUGAGGAGGAGGAGUGAGGAUGGAGGAGUGAGGAUGGAGGAGUGAGGAGGAGUGAGGAUGGAGGAGUGAGGAUGGAGGAGUGAGGAGGAGUGAGGAUGGAGGAGUGAGGAGGAGUGAGGAUGGAGGAGUGAGGAGGAGUGAGGAGUGAGAAUGGAGGAGUGAGGAUGGAGGAGUGAGGAUGGUGGAGUGAGGAGGAGUGAGGAUGGAGGAGUGAGGAUGGUGGAGUGAGGAGGAUUGAGGAUGGAGGAGUGAGGAGGAGUGAGGAUGGUGGAGUGAGGAGGAGUGAGGAUGACGAUGGGGGAGGAGAGAGGAUGAGGAGGAGAUGGAUUAGUAAGGAUGGGGUUGAGGAGGAGAUGGAUUAGUGAGGAUGGGGGGGAUGAGGAGGAGAGAGGAUGGAGGAGUGAGGAGGAGUGAGGAUGACGAUGGGGGAGGAGAGAGGAUGAGGAGGAGAUGGAUUAGUAAGGAUGGGGUUGAGGAGGAGAUGGAUUAGUGAGGAUGGGGGGAUGAGGAGGAGAUGGAGGAGUGAGGAUAGGGAUGAGGAAGAGAUGGAUUAGUGAGGAUGGGGAUGAGGAGGAGAUGGAUUAGUGAGGAUGGGGUUGAGGAGGAGAUGGAGGAGUGGGGAUGAGGAGGAGAUGGAGGAGUGAGGAUGGGGGAUGAGGAGGAAUGAGGAUGGGGGAUGAGGAGAAGAUGGAGGAGUGAGGGUGGGGGGAUGAGGAGGAGAGAAGAUGAGGAUGAGAUGAAGGAGUGAGGAUGGGGGAAGGAGAGAGGAUGAGAGGGGAGGUGGGGGAGGAGUGAGGAUGGGGGAAGGAGGGAGGAGGAGGGGGAAGGGGGAGGAUGAGGGGGAAGGAGGAGGGAGGAUGAGGGGAAGGAGGGAGGAUGAGGGGGGGGAGGAGUGAGGAUGGGGGAGGAGGGAGGAUGAGGGGGGAGGAGGGAGGAAGAGGCGGAGAGGGGGGAAGAGGAGGGAGGAUGAGGGGGAAGGAGAAGGGAGGAUGAGGGGGAAAGAGGAGGGGGAGGCAGGUCAGUGAUGUAGAAGGAGAGAUGGUUCAGAGUGGAGUCGGAUAAUAUCUGAGGAGAACAGAGAGACAGAUGUACAGUUUAUUAUUAUUAUUAGUAGUGGUAGUAGUUUGAUGUACAGUAUAUUACUAUUAGUAUUAGUAGUUUUACAGUACUGCAGACUAACUAAUCUAUCACAACUCUAACUUCUGAUAUUGAAUUUUAAAAAGUACAAGAUGGAAAGAUUGUCCAGAUGUGGAGAAAACAAUGACAGAAACACAGCUGACAAAAGGUCUUCACAUACAGACCAGACCAAACACCCCCAGGGUUAGGGGGGUUACCAGACCAAACACCCCCAGGGUUAGGGGGGUUACCAGACCAAACACACCCAGGAUUAGGGGGGUUACCAGACCAAACACCCCCAGGGUUAGGGGGUUACCAGACCAAACACACCCAGGGUUAGGGGCGUUACCAGACCGAUAUCACCCAGGGAUAGGGGCGUUACCAGACCAAACACACCCAGGGUUAGGGGGUUACCAGACCGAUAUCACCCAGGGUUAGGGGGGUUACCAGACCGGGGGUUACCAGACCGAUAUCACCCAGGGUUAGGGGGUUACCAGACCGAUAUCACCCAGGGUUAGGGGGUUACCAGACCGAUAUCACCCAGGGUUAGGGGCGUUACCAGACCGAUAUCACCCAGGGUUAGGGGGGCGUUACCAGACCAAACACACCCAGGGUUAGGGGCGUUACCAGACCAAACACACCCAGGGUUAGGGGGUUACCAGACCGAUAUCACCCAGGGUUAGGGGCGUUACCAGACCGAUAUCACCCAGGGUUAGGGGCAUUACCAGACCAAACACACCCAGGGUUAGGGGGCAUUAACAGACCGACAAGACCCAGGGAUAGGGGCGUUACCAGACCAAACACACCCAGGGUUAGGGGCGUUACCAGACCGAUAUCACCCAGGGUUAGGGGCGUUACCAGACCGAUAUCACCCAGGGUUAGGGGUGUUACCAGACCGAUAUCACCCAGGGUUAGGGGCAUUACCAGACCAAACACACCCAGGGUUAGGGGUGUUACCAGACCAAACACACCCAGGGUUAGGGGCGUUACCAGACCGAUAUCACCCAGGGUUAGGGCGUUACCAGACCGAUAUCACCCAGGGUUAGGGGCAUUAACAGACCGACAAGACCCAGGGAUAGGGGCGUUACCAGACCAAACACACCCAGGGUUAGGGGCGUUACCAGACCGAUAUCACCCAGGGUUAGGGGCAUUACCAGACCAAACACACCCAGGGUUAGGGGCAUUAACAGACCGACAAGACCCAGGGAUAGGGGCGUUACCAGACCAAACACACCCAGGGUUAGGGGUGUUACCAGACCGAUAUCACCCAGGGUUAGGGCGUUACCAGACCGAUAUCACCCAGGGUUAGGGGUGUUACCAGACCGAUAUCACCCAGGGUUAGGGGCGUUACCAGACCAAACACACCCAGGGUUAGGGGCGUUACCAGACCAAACACACCCAGGGUUAGGGGCGUUACCAGACCGAUAUCACCCAGGGUUAGGGCGUUACCAGACCGAUAUCACCCAGGGUUAGGGGCAUUAACAGACCGACAAGACCCAGGGAUAGGGGCGUUACCAGACCAAACACACCCAGGGUUAGGGGCGUUACCAGACCGAUAUCACCCAGGGUUAGGGGCAUUACCAGACCAAACACACCCAGGGUUAGGGGCAUUAACAGACCGACAAGACCCAGGGAUAGGGGCGUUACCAGACCAAACACACCCAGGGUUAGGGGUGUUACCAGACCAAACACACCCAGGGUUAGGGCGUUACCAGACCGAUAUCACCCAGGGUUAGGGGCGUUACCAGACCGAUAUCACCCAGGGUUAGGGGCGUUACCAGACCGAUAUCACCCAGGGUUAGGGGCGUUACCAGACCGAUAUCACCCAGGGUUAGGGGUGUUACCAGACCAAACAACACUUAACAGAGAGCUAUUCUAGAAGGAAAAAGAGGUGGUCAGUGUGGGACAGCCCAGGUUAAGGAGGGGUUCAAGUUAGGAUCAUUAAGACUGUAGGCUUCAUUAACUUACACGUAGGAAGUACAUGUGAUCAAACAAUUCAAUAAUGGUACAGGUUAACACUUAAAAAUAACUAUAGACAGGACCUUUCUAAGGCUGUUCUAGAUCCGAUACAGUAAACAACAGUAAUUCAAACAGAUCAUAUAUUAUCAACAGUUAACAGUUGAUUCAACAGAUCAUAUAUUAUCAACAGUUAACAGUUGUAUUUCUUUAAGCCCUUUAAAAAGCGAACCCUCCGCAAUCAAAGGCAUCAAAGUCGGAGUCUCCUCCCUCGAAGUCGAAGCUGUUGAAUUGUGGGGGGUUGUCUACGUCCUGACUACAAUGGAAGGACCCACCCGACCCCCCUCCCAUCUCUGAGAAGCUCCCUGCCCCUCCACCGUGGCCCAGCGGGCCCAGAUCCUGCAGGCCGGAGGCUCUGGAGGUCAGAGGGGAGGAGGGAGAGCAGGACUGGAGGUAGCCCAGAGCGGAGGAGGCUGCUGCCCCUCCCAUCAGCAGACACACCGCCCUCACCGCCCGCGCGUCGCUGCUGUUACCGUGGCGAAGACAGUCUGACGUACGGUGGGGCGGAGCUACUGACGCCACGCUACGCACAGACCGCACUGACUGUCUGUGGCCACCCCCUAGACACAGACACACACACACACACACGCACGCACACACGCACACACACACACACACACACACACACACACACACACACACAAAGAAAACAAAUAAACACAAGAUACAGUACAGUAUACCAAUGCCCAGACUGUUGUCUCUCUGUUAAUGUCCUGACUGUUGUCUCUCUGUUAAUGUCCUGACUGUUGUCUCUCUGUUAAUGUCCUGACUGUUGUCUCUCUGUUAAUGUCCUGACUGUUGUCUCUCUGUUGAUGUCCUGACUGUUGUCUCUCUGUUAAUCUCCUGACUGUUGUCUCUCUGUUAAUGUCCUGACUGACCCAGACUGUUGUCUCUCUGUUGAUGUCCUGACUUGCCCAGGCUGUUGUCUCUCUGUUGAUGUCCUGACUGACCCAGACUGUUGUCUCUCUGUUGAUGUCCUGACUGACGCAGACUGUUGUCUCUCUGUUGAUGUCCUGACUGUUGUCUCUCUGUUAAUGUCUUGACUGUUGUCUCUCUGUUAAUGUCCUGACUGUUGUCUCUCUGUUAAUGUCCUGACUGUUGUAUCUCUGUUAAUGUCCUGACUGUUGUCUCUCUGUUGAUGUCCUGACUGUUGUCUCUCUGUUAAUCUCCUGACUGUUGUCUCUCUGUUAAUGUCCUGACUGACCCAGACUGUUGUCUCUCUGUUGAUGUCCUGACUUGCCCAGGCUGUUGUCUCUCUGUUGAUGUCCUGACUGACCCAGACUGUUGUCUCUCUGUUGAUGUCCUGACUGUUGUCUCUCUGUUGAUGUCCUGACUGUUGUCUCUCUGUUAAUCUCCUGACUGUUGUCUCUCUGUUAAUGUCCUGACUGACCCAGACUGUUGUCUCUCUGUUGAUGUCCUGACUUGCCCAGGCUGUUGUCUCUGAAGGACCCGGCCCGAGAGGCUGAGGGCGUGGUGGUGGGGGUGACGGUCGGAGUGCCAGUCGGGGUGGCGAUGGGGGUCGAGGUGCUCACUGUCGCCCGUGGCGAGGCAGUGUCCCUGUCGGUGGGAGUGUCAGGUUGGGGGUCUCUGUCUGUGAUGUGGGCGGUGAGGCUCGGGGUCAGACUCUGCUGUCUCUGCAGGACAAGCGUUGACAUCACACCCU